ensembl:lncRNA
CACCAGUCCUGUAACACCGACCACCCUCUCCUUUCAGAUCCACAGCCUCCCCACCACCUCCCCCGCCAUCCCUGGUCCUCCCGGCAGCGCAGCUGUGAAUGAGAACAGACCAGUGAACUUUUCACUUCUCCCCAUUGUGCUCUGGAUUUGGAAGACGCUUAAGACAGACGCUGAAAUGUUAAAGGUGGGAGUAUCUCCAGGCGUCCCUGGUGGUCCAGCGGUUUAAGUAUUCACCUUGCAAUGUAAGGGACACCAGUUCAAUUCCUGAUCUGGGAGGAUCCCACAGGCCAUGGAGCAUCUAAUCCCC